GAUGAACGCUGGCGGCGUGCUUAACACAUGCAAGUCGAACGGAAAGGCUCCUGCUUGCAGGGGUACUCGAGUGGCGAACGGGUGAGUAACACGUGGGUGAUCUGCCCUGCACUUCUGGAUAAGCCUGGGAAACUGGGUCUAAUACCGGAUAGGACGAUGGUUUGGAUGCCAUUGUUGAAAGUUUUUCGGUGUGGGAUGAGCUCGCGGCCUAUCAGCUUGUUGGUGGGGUAAUGGCCUACCAAGGCGUCGACGGGUAGCCGGCCUGAGAGGGUGUACGGCCACAUUGGGACUGAGAUACGGCCCAGACUCCUACGGGAGGCAGCAGUGGGGAAUAUUGCACAAUGGGCGCAAGCCUGAUGCAGCGACGCCGCGUGGGGGAUGACGGCCUUCGGGUUGUAAACUACUUUCGCUAGGGACGAAGCGCAAGUGACGGUACCUGGAGAAGAAGCACCGGCUAACUACGUG
rnacentral:rRNA from 1 species